rnacentral:rRNA from 1 species
GAUGAACGCUGACAGAAUGCUUAACACAUGCAAGUCGAUGGGGAAGUGGUGCUUGCACCAUGGCAACCAUGGCGGACGGGUGAGUAACGCGUAAGGGACUUACCUGCAGGACUGGGAUAACAGGGGGAAACUCCUGACAAGACCGGAUAAUGUCAUGGAGCUGCAUGGCUUUAUGAUGAAAGUAGACGCCUGCGGAGAGCCUUGCGUCCUAUUAGCUAGUUGGUGAGGUAAUGGCUCACCAAGGCGAAGAUAGGUAGCCGGCCUGAGAGGGUGGACGGCCACAAGGGGACUGAGAGACGGCCCUUACUCCUACGGGAGGCAGCAGUGGGGAAUAUUGGACAAUGGGGGCAACCCUGAUAAAGCAAUUCUGUGUGCACGAAGAAGGUUUUCGGAUUGUAAAGUGCUUUCAGCAGGGAAGAAGUAAGUGACGGUACCUGCAGAAGAAGCGACGGCUAAAUACGUG